AAAGGAAGAAGAGGAAAUUGAAGGAAAGAGCAUGAUUUCAAGCCAAUCUUUGUGAGUGGUGAUUGAUAUUUACAUUAAGGUAGUGAUGUGGAAGUUGGAGAUGCCGGUUAAUUUAAUCCG